UGAGGUGUGGGGGAGGUGGCACUGUGAGGUGUGGGGGAGGUGGCACUGUGAGGUGUGGGGAGGUGGCACUGUGAGGUGUGGGGGAGGUGGCACUGUGAGGUGUGGGGAGGCCCGGCUCGUGGUGGUGGGUCCUGAACAGAGGCUGCCAUUAGGGUUGCAGGCAAGACAGAUGGGCACAGAUGGGCAGACCCGAUGGCUCUGGAAGUUCAGGGGGUGGCCCAGGGCGGCCCACCCUGCUGGGGCUGCGGUUUUCCUGGGCAGCCGGAUGUUGGCUGGCAGCACUGGGCACAGAGGAGACAGAAGCACAGAACCGGAACCAGGCGGCCCAGCCCAGCCCUCUGUGCCCUGCGGCAGGACAGCCUCCAGUCAGGUAAAACAGGGGGUGGCCUUGGGGCUUGCACAGACGGAACAUGUGCCAUGUCAUUGGGAAGGAGCUCACCAGGAGAAAGAUGGGGCCUUGGGGAAGUGGCUUCCUGCUGUGGAGCCUCAGUUUCCUCAUCUGUGACAUGGGGCUUUUGUGAGGGUUGCUGCGAGAAUGAAGAGGAGUGAUCUGUGAACAGCCAGCUCACGGCUGAGUGCCCCUUGGCUUGGAGGUGGAGAAAGAAGAUGGGGCUGUUCUCUUCCCCAGCUGGAGUCUUGGAGGAGAGCAGCUGCCCAGGGGGAAUGGAAAGUUAGGUCCGAAGGCCGCUUUGAAAGGGUUGGAGGCUGGUUACCCUGAGCCCAGCUCCGUGUUGGCUGCUAUCAGCUGGCUCACUGGUGCAAACCUCAGUGCCUUUUUGUUUUGGUGGGAAUUAGAGCCUAUGGGGGCGCAUGUAUUUAGAAACCAUAACACUCCAUCGGCACGUGCGAGAGUGGUUUGCAAUGGAACUCAGUCUUCACAAUGCUGAGGAAACACAGUUGGGAAACUGAGGCACACGGAGAAGGUGGCUCACCCAGGGCCACACGGCGGGGAGGUGUGGCAGCUCUGAUGGGGGCGUCCAGCCUGGUGGCAUCUCAGCAUAUGCAGUUAGGGGGCUCCUCUUAGGGAGAAGGAAUACCAAAUCCUGUGGCAGUGGAUAUUCCGACAGGAGUGAAAUCCCAAGAAAAGGCCCAUUUUAUAUCAGGCAAAUAUUAGAGAUGGCAAUGCAGCCAGGUCCUCCCUGCCAGGAAGGGUGGAAACCCUGAAGAAUCAGCACCCGCUGUCCCUUGAACCCAGGCCUGGACUCCUGCCCCAGUGCUCUUUCCACGGAAGCAGCUUCCUCGAAUGCACCCGGUUUCCUGGGAGUGAGCUUCUUUGCCACCGGAAUGAACGAACAAUCCAGAUGAGGAUUUCAGGAUGGUUCCGCCCUGCCUGCCUCACAGCGCCCUUCCCAGAACAGGCGGGGGAACGCGAGGCAAGGUGGUUCUCGCCUGGAGCCGGGUGGGUGGCCUGGGGGGCAGAGGCAGGCUCUGAGUUCUGCACCUAUUUACAUAUCCCCUGCCCACUGUCCGGGCGCUCCUUCCCUUCCCUGGUUCCUCAAGGCACAGCUCCCCCGGGCAGAUGAAAGCUUCAUGGAGUUUUGCGACAUGAAAGUCAGUCGGAGGAAAGAGCCUUGAACAGUUCCGCGUGAAAGAGAGAGGCAAGUGCCCGAAAUUAUUUUACGACAAAGGCAGCUCUCUCUGCCACAAAGGCACGGAGGAGAAAGGAGCCCUGGAAACAGGUCAUUUCUUUCGUGGAAAAAUGGAAACUGCUCUGAAGCAUUUUGGGAGACAUGCUGCGAAGUAGGUGACAUCGGAAGACGAGGACACUGGGGGCUCCCUGCCAGGAGGUGCAAAAAGCAACUCCCGUUCGAGGGUCAGAGGAGCCUGGACGCUAAUGUCUCUUGAAGGUGACUGGGAGCCAGUUGCCGGAAAGGCCACGCCCUCAGGAACACAGAGCCUCACCGGAUGCCCUUCGGCUUCUUCAAGAACAUAUACUGAGCUGGCCUCACUCCAGAGUUGUUUACUUGUGCUUGUCUUCACAAGGUAAUUGAGAAGAGGCCCAAAGAGAGCGAGGGCCAGCUCUCCGGCUGCCUGCUUCCCAGGCCAGGCUGUUUCCUUCUCCAGGGCCACUUCUGCAAACUCUUCAAAAGAAACAAGGUCACACUCCCUAGUCUAAGCAAGGGAGGAAACCAAAGGCAGCUUUGAUAUGUCAGCUUGGGGAACAAGCUGACGGCACGGAUCACGAGCGCUGCUUUCUGCCUGAGCAAAUGGCUCUAAAUGACGUACUUCAGGCUCUCCUCUUAACGUGCUGGGUGUUUAUGAUUUUUAAAAAAGUGCCUCAUCAAAAAAAAUGCAAUAAUGAUGCUCCUAACUUAACAGCAGCAUUUUAGAAGAGAUGAAUUAUUCACAUCAGAGAUGAAACAGCGACUCCACAAACUGGGCCAGCUGAAGCAGUCCCUUUCCCGGGAACUAUUUUUAUCUUUUUUUACAGUCUUUCAUCUUGGGAGACACGCGGUUCGCAAUGUACGGGGAGCCCAUUGCUCAGAGCCCAAGCUGGCAGGAUGUCAAACCUGAAGUACUAGGCGUCUUGGAGCUUCUGCCUGGAGUACGAAAUCUGAGGAAACUGAAGUGUGGAAAACGGGGCAGCAGCAAUGUGAAUGAAGAUGAUUGAGGGGUGUUGGGGACUCCCUGUUUCUUAACCUUGGAGGGCUCUCAGAGGCAUGCUUCUCCAUCGUUGACCCAGGGCACCAUGGAGUUAUCCUGCCCUUUAUUUUCCUGACAUCUAAUGAUUUCCCACCUAAUAAUGCGUGGAGCUCUUGGGAAAGAG